rnacentral:rRNA from 1 species
GACGAACCGUGCGAACGUUAUUCGGAAUCACUGGGCUUAAAGCGCGUGUAGGCGGGACGGCACGUCGGUCGCUGAAAGCCUCCGGCUCAACCGGGGAAGGGGCACCGAUACGACCGCCCUGGAGGGACGUAGGGGGACCUGGAACUUCCGGUGGAGCGGUGAAAUGCGUUGAGAUCGGAAGGAACGCCCGUGGCGAAAGCGAGGUCCUGGACGUUUUUCUGACGCUGAGACGCGAAAGCCAGGGGAGCGAACGGG